rnacentral:rRNA from 1 species
AUACGGAGGAUCCGAGCGUUAUCCGGAUUUAUUGGGUUUAAAGGGUGCGCAGGCGGCCAUUUAAGUCAGCGGUUAAAUCGUGGGGCUCAACCCCAUUCUGCCGUUGAUACUGGGUGGCUUGAUUGCGGUCGGGGUUGGCGGAAUUCGUUGUGUAGCGGUGAAAUGCAUAGAUAUGACGAAGAACACCGAUUGCGUAGGCAGCUGACCAGACCGCAAAUGACGCUCAUGCACGAAAGUGCGGGGAUCGAACAGGAUUAGAUACCCUGGUAGUCCGCACAGUAAACGAUGAAUACUUGUUUUCGGCGAUAUAAUGUCGGAGGCAAAGCGAAAGCGAUAAGUAUUCCACCUGGGGAGUACGCCGGCAACGGUGAAACUCAAAGGAAUUGACGGGG